CACCGGCACAUCCAUUCCACUUGAGAACUCCGGCGCACCGCUGCUGGCGAAGUUCGAGUAGGAGCCGAAGUUGGUGGAGUAGCUCUCCUGGUCGUCGUCUUCGUGGAAGGAUCCGUGGUUCGUCUCGUUGACCACUUCUCCGUCGAUUCCGUACGCGUCGUCGAAGGAAGCCAUGCUCAACGGAGUUUCUCUCUCUUUUCUUCUCUGGCUAACAGAUCGGUGAAGCUCGUGGUUUCUCUCUCCCUCUCUAGCAAAAUGGCAGCGUCAGCUUCAAACUUUGGGAGGAAAAGAGUUGCUUUAUUAAGGCGGUUUGUUUGACAUUUUUAUAUACCUAC
rnacentral:lncRNA from 1 species